CUUUGGGCACUGAGUUUAGCAGCAGGCUCAACCUAGAUCCUCUCUGUCAGAUCUUUCCUGUGCUCCUGCCAAACUAUCCUAAUUGGCUAUAAACACUGUUAGGAAACUGUCAGCAGCUUGGAAUUGCCAGUUUCCUGUAAGUGAGGAUUUACUAAAAACCAAAAAUCCCAUUUUCCCCUUUGCAUUCUACGACCCCUGGUACAAAAAAAUGGUAACUCACAGCUUAAAAAAUAUGAGAGUACUCACCUCCUGAAUUCUCAGGGAUACUACUAAGAUACAUUUUGAAUUUUUCAUCCUUAAAAUAACUUUUUUAAAAAAGCAUUGUGGGUAGGUUGAUCCCACUAGUCAAAUGAUUGCCUUUUUAGCUUCAUUUGUCUCUCAAUAUAGACAAGUUAUUUCUGUGCCUCAUUUUCACCCAUUCAGAUAUCAACAACUGAGCUAUUUCUCCUUCUGUGACUCAGAAGGAAGACAGAAAACUGUGAAAAAGCACUAUGCAACAACUUCUUGCAGAAGCACUUUGAUACCAUAAGGUCUUUGUGUGGACAGAUGCUUCUGUUUUCCUUGUGUUAAAAUCUGGGAGUGAAAUUGCUAGGUAAAAUUCAUAUACCAAAAUACAGUAGUUCCCGACUUAUCCAUGGGGAAUACUUUCCAGGACCUCCAGUGGAUGCUCAAGACCGUGGAUAGUAUUGAACACUAUGCUAUGUUUUUUGUUUUCCUAUGCAGACAUAGCUAUGAUAAAGUUUAAUUUAUAAACU